GCCACGCCCACCGAGGGUAUAAGUAACCCCCGCUGCUGGGUUCGUCCAGGUGUGCAAACGGGAACAACGACAGAGGAAAGCGUGUCUAAAUUUUUAUCAAAAUACUGUAAUAUAGAAGAAGUGAGAGCGACAUAAAAUAAGGACAACCUUUUCUGAAUCACGGCGCAUCGUGACUGUUGAGGUGAGUGACAGAGAAGCGAACAGAAACACGAACACGCUGAGUGGAUAAUGCUAAUGCUAACAGGCUAACCGCGCUCGUGUUUUUAGCCUGGUAUGCUAGUGAACAGGUAACGCCAUAGAUACAUAAAGGCUAGAUGGCUUACGCACGCUGGCAGCCAAUGGAGACGGACGUUCGCGAAUGGCGGCCAUCUUGCUAAGGGCAGCUCGCCCACUCCUAACAUUCCCGUCUAAGGUUCAUGUUACAUUUAAAUAACCAUAUAUUGAUUAAUUUCAAACCGAUUUUCGAACAGUUUGGUUUGUAACAAACGUCAGAAUUUUAGUUAUGUCCCUGCAUACUCAAGAAUAAUUUUAACCAUAACCAUAUUCAUAUAUAAACAUUAAACAUAUAGGUAGAGCAGUAGCUAUGUUUUUCAACUCAAACUCUGAUUUUUUUUCAAUUUUUUGUUUUAUUUGUUGUACUUUCUGGUACAGGUGCCCACAGUUGGACUAGACAUACUGGAAGAGGAAGAGGAGAUCAUCAAACAGAGCAGCGAAUACUCUGAGAUGAUCUUUUUAA